GCCCCCUCGUGGCGGUACUUCAGCCCUUCGCAGCCCGACGCUAGGGGCCUGGCAGGGGGCAGCAAGAGACCGCGGAUUACCUGAAGCUGAGUAAUUUAUAAAGAAAAGAAGUUCAAUUGGCUCACAGUUCUGCAGGCUGUACAGGAAGCAUGGCACUGACAUCUUCUCAGCUUCUGGUGAGGGCCUCAGGAAGUUUACAAUCAUGGUGGAAGGCAAAGGGGGAGCAAGCGUCUCAUGUGGCAAGAGGGAACAAACAGGAGACAGGAGGUGCCACACACUUUUAAACAACAGGAUCUCACAAGAGCUUACUCUUACAAGGACAGCACCAAGAAUAUGAGGAAUCUGCCCGCAUGACCCAAACACUUCCCUCCAGGCCCCACCUCCAACACUGGGGAUUACAUCUCAACACUGGAUUUGGAGGGGACAUCCAAACUAUAUCAAGGCUGUACAAGAAGCUUGGUGCCAGCAUUUGCUUCUACGCAGAGCCUCAGGCUGCUUCUACUCACAGUAAAAGGCAAAAGGGCAUGCAAAGAUCAUGUGGCAAGAGAAGAAGUGAGGGAUGGGGGAUGCCAUGCUCUUUUUAACAACCAGCUCUCAUGGGAACCAAGAGGGACAACUCACUCAUUAUAGCACCAAGCCUGUAUCCCUCCCAUUAUGCCCUACCUCCAACAUCGAGGAUCAAAUUUCAACAUGAGGUUUGGAGGCUCAAAUAUCCAAACAAUGGCAUUAUGUCAGGAUCAUAAAGCUAAUGUUUGUGAAACCAGGAUCUGAACCCAAGCUAUUGCUUCUAGAACCUGUACUCUUAAGCCCUUGCUUAUACUGCAUUUGAAAUUAUGCUUCAUUGUAUAAAAAGUCCUUUUCACCUCAAGCUUAUAGAGAAGUCACCUUGUUCUUAAAAAGUCCUUUACACUUCAAGUUCAUAAAGCUCAGGCACAUAUAUUUUCUUCCA
rnacentral:lncRNA from 1 species